rnacentral:rRNA from 1 species
GACGAACGCUGGCGGCGUGCCUAAUACAUGCAAGUAGAACGCUGAAGAGAGGAGCUUACUCUUCUUGGAUGAGUUGCGAACGGGUGAGUAACGCGUAGGUAACCUGCCUUGUAGCGGGGGAUAACUAUUGGAAACGAUAGCUAAUACCGCAUAACAAUGGAUGACACAUGUCAUUUAUUUGAAAGGGGCAAUUGCUCCACUACAAGAUGGACCUGCGUUGUAUUAGCUAGUAGGUGAGGUAAUGGCUCACCUAGGCGACGAUACAUAGCCGACCUGAGAGGGUGAUCGGCCACACUGGGACUGAGACACGGCACAGACUCCUACGGGAGGCAGCAGUAGGGAAUCUUCGGCAAUGGGGGCAACCCUGACCGAGCAACGCCGCGUGAGUGAAGAAGGUUUUCGGAUCGUAAAGCUCUGUUGUAAGUCAAGAACGGGUGUGAGAGUGGAAAGUUCACACUGUGACGGUAGCUUACCAGAAAGGGACGGCUAACUACGUG